UUGAUUUCUUCGGAAUGAAGUUUUUGUGACUGAGUGGCGGACGGGUGAGUAACGCGUGGGUAACCUGCCUCAUACAGGGGGAUAACAGUUGGAAACGACUGCUAAUACCGCAUAAGCGCACAGGAUUGCAUGAUCCAGUGUGAAAAACUCCGGUGGUACAGGAUGGACCCGCGUCUGAUUAGAUAGUUGGUGAGGUAACGGCCCACCAAGUCAACGAUCAGUAGCCGGCCUGAGAGGGCGAACGGCCACAUUGGGACUGAGACACGGCCCAAACUCC
rnacentral:rRNA from 1 species